AAACAAAGGCUAACAAAGGCGGCUUCUUACAGAUCUUCGAGUCAACGUUGGGUGCUUUGCUUUGCUUUGCUUGCCCUUCACACAAGGCAGCAUUCUUUUUUGUUUUUUCUAACUUUUGAAGCUAUGCAUGUUGCCUCUGCAUACCCUUUAUAAACCCAAAUCACAACUUCCUUCGACAAAUUAUAAAUCACAAGAUACGGCUUAAUUCCAAUGGAUCAUCUUCUUCACAAGCCAACCAUUCACAUAGCAGCAGUCUCAAUUCCAGCGUUCAGCCACCAAGCCUCCAUUCUCGAGUUCUCAAAACGACUCGUUCAGCUCCACCCUCACUUGCACGUGACCUGCAUCUUCCCCACCAUUGAUUCUCCUCCUGAUCCCACCAUCACCUUUCUUCAAUCCCUCCCUUCUUCUUCCUCUAUUCGCUGCAUCUUCCUCCCUCCCAUCUCCAAACACGAUCUUGAUUCUCAACUUCAUCCUCCUGCUGUUCAGGUCCAACUCGCUCUUUCUCGCUCCCUUCCUUCUCUCCGUGAUGCCCUCCAAACGCUAUGUUUCGGUUCGUCGUCGUCGUCGUCCCCGCCACUUGUCGCUCUAAUCACAGACCCUUUUGCGAAUGAAGUUCUUGAGAUAGCCAAGGAGCUCGAUCUAUUGUCCUUCAUCUACUUCCCUCCUUCCGCCAUGACGCUGUCUCUGUUUCUGAACUUGCCGAGGCUGGAUCGAGAGGUUUCAUGCGAGUACAGAGAUUUGAAGAAUCCAAUCGAGAUUAUUCCUGGAUGUGGCAUUCCGAUCAGCGGCCUUGAUCUUCCCGAGCAUCUUCAAGAUCGAUCUAGUCUCUCUUAUGAGCUCAUGCUUCAACGCUGUAAACGCUCCUCUCUUGCUCAUGGGUUCUUGGUCAACACCUUUUUUGAAAUGGAACAGAGCACUGUAAGAGCUCUUCAAAACGUGUUCCCAAUCGGACCCAUAGUCCAAACCGGGUCAAGUACCCCUGGAAACGGGUCGGGUUGUUUGAACUGGUUGCAAAAUCAAGCCCCACGGUCUGCUUUAUAUGUUUCGUUCGGGAGCGGAGGGACACUGAGUCAGGACCAGCUCUAUGAGCUAGCUUUAGGGUUAGAAUUGAGCGAUCAAAGAUUCUUGUGGGUUGUUAGAAAACCAAGCGAAUCAGCGAAUUCUGCUUAUUUGAGCGAUGAAAAACAAGAUCCAUUGCAAUUUUUGCCAUUGGGAUUCUUAGAAAGAACAAAACAACGAGGCUUGGUCGUGUCUUCUUGGGCCCCACAAAAUGAGAUUCUAAGACACAGUUCAACUGGAGGGUUUUUAACACAUUGUGGUUGGAAUUCGAUCCUCGAGAGCAUUGUGUGUGGUGUGCCGAUGAUCACGUGGCCGUUAUUUGCAGAGCAGCAGAUGAACGCCAUUUUGGUGACGGAAGGGCUGAAGGUGGGACUAAUGAGGCCAAAAGCGAAUGAGAAAAAUGGUGUUGUCGAGAAGGAGGAGAUUGCUAAGGUAGUGAGAAGUUUAAUGGAGGAUGGAGAAGAAGGAGAUGGGAUUCGCAGAAGAAUUGAGGAGUUGAAGGUUGCUGCUGCUUCUGCUUUGAAAGAAGAUGGCUCCUCUACAAUGACACUUUCUCAGGUUGUCGAUCAAUUGGAAACCUUUGGGAGGCCAAAAACGGAUGAAUGAUCGUAUGUUUUUUGAUGCAAGUGGAAGGAUUGUGUUUCAGGUCAAAGCAAGUAUGUGUGGUGAAAAUUAUUCUCAUUGUGCCACACGCCACGGCUUAUGCUACAUGCAUUGCGACGCUUAGACUAAAAAGUGACUUCUUAAGUUGUGGAAUUUCAAAAAUUUCAGAAGGGAGAAAUUGGUAACACAUGUAAGGGAGAAGAGAAAAGUGAAGGGUGUGUUAGGGCAAGCUAUUUCAGAGCUGUAAAAGGUGAUUCUAAACAGUAACUUAGCGGUGGCAUGUGACUUGUGCAUCAAUUUGGCAAUUGAGGUCAACACUCCUUGAGGUCAAUGGCUGAUGUUUUGCACGUGAAUUAUGAUUAUUUUGAGGGAUUAAAUCAGCUAAAAUGAUGUGGAUGACACAUGAGAAAUUAAGCACACAUUGGAAUCAUCUACAAACCAAUAGGAAGUUGCCACCUUGCAAGUGUGACAAGGCUCCCAUUUACAUUUUAAUUUCUUUUUCCUUAUUUUAAGUCCUAAAUGGGAUCCAACACAUAUCUCAUUCAUCUUCCACAUUCUCUCUCUCUUGUUCAUAGUGUUCUUCAUUUUCUCUCUUUUGUUCUUCAAUUUCCAGCACCCUAACCUCCAUUUUCAGGCACCAAACCUCCACAAAACUCAUACCAUUCUUCUCCUCUCUUCAUUUUCGUUCCAUCCCUUCCAUUUUCACAAGGAUUGAAGCUCAUUUCCAUCAUUCAAGAGCUAUGGAGUUUGGCCUUCACAAGCAAUCACUAGGGUU